UCGCGUGUUUUCAUUUUUGUUAAUUGUGGUUCGAUCGAGUCUUGUAUCAGUUAUGGUAGCACUAGUAAUGUGCAUUGUGGGGAAUCUAGAGCUGUCAUAUAAUCUGUGUAUGGCUUUAUUUAUAAAAUGAGAAAAGAGCACUCUGUAUCACGCUGUAGGAAUAUGCUUAUUCUGCUUCUCAUUUUGUGUGAACACAACAUAAAUAUUGACUACAUGAUAAUGUUGUUUCUCUGAUUGUAUUAGGAUACUUUUAGACUUGUGAUUUCCUGCUACUUGUUAAGUUGAAUUUUUCGGCUUGUAAAAAUUUCAUAUUGAUUUGCUCGAGUUUCGUUCCAAUUAUGGUAGCACUAGUGAACAAGGAAGAUUUGGCUUGUAGGGCAGAUAAAAAGCUGAAAUGUACUUAAACAAUGGGGCUGAAAUUUGACUCUUCGGCUUCUUUUAUUACGCCUUAGAGAUGAAUGCAGCUCCCUACAUCGAACUCAUCUUCCUCAGAUGCUGCUAGAAGUUUCCCAGAUCUAGCUGCAAACAAGGAAGUUGUGACAUCUGUUUUGUAUUAUCAAUUUAUUGAUGUGCUUUUUAAAUGUUAAAUAAAAAGUAAUGUUCUUUAAAUACAGCACUUUUAGUGGGCUAGAAAACAAAAUCUGCUGAGCGCGCUGCAAAAUUAUACCAUGCAAAAUUUGUCCGUAAACCCCAAAAGAGAUCCUGUUUGCUUGUAGAUAACCUUUGGUACUUAUGGUUAAGUUGGGAUGUACGCCUUUAGGUGCCUCGUCGCCUCUUAAAAUAAAAUUGUAUGAUAUUUUCUUUGCUGGAAUUAUGUAUAAUCAUCUAUAUUUCUGGCAGCUGAAACUAUGUAUUUAUAUCUGCUGGAAUGUAAACAUCUUCACGACCUUAUCUGUGUCAUAUAAUUUUGUUUGUGUUGGCAUGACUUGUUCAUGGUUCUGUAUAUUAUUUUCUGUUAAACGGUUCAAGCAUAUAAAUUUAGAGUUGGCUCAUAUCCUUUUUGGUGCUAGAUAGAGAAUAUAUUGAUGAAAACCAUUGUUGUUCAACUGUCCAAGGAAUACCCCUAAAUAUUUAAGAAUUUGACAUGUUAAGGUCCAGCAGGUAUUCCAAUUCCUUCUUGAAGCGAUUGUAGACCAACUGUGGCGGUGAAAUUAGGGCUCAGAGAAGUUCAUAAUCUAGUUGGUGUGUUGAUUCUGAACCUAGUUAGGAAGUUUGAUGUAGUGCAUAUCAGUCUGCUAUUUCAACCACAUUAUCUUCUUAUAUGAAUAAGAUCAUAGCCUCAUUAGUCAAGAGUUGAUUGCAGAUCUUUAUCCAUUGGUUAUUGGUUUCAUGCUUGAUGGUUCUGUGGCUUUUUGUUUUUGUUCUUUUUGUGGUGUUUGUUAUCUCAUUUACCACUAAUUUUAAUGCUUUCAGAAUUCUAGAAAGAGCUACCAUCAGACUUGCUUUGUUUAUUUACAUAAUAAAUGACUUUGUCUACUUAACAGUGUAUAUGUGUAGGCUGGUUUAGACAACAUGGUAGGUAUAGCGUAGUUUAAAAUAUUGCCGAAUCACUUGUGUUAUACUGUGCAAAUACAGCAUAGGAUACCCUUAUUUUCAUAGGCGUGUUAUGUGUGGGCUCUUAUCCGUGUCUUCAGCAGCAGCAACAAUAAACUUGGUCUUUUUUGGAAACGACAAAAAAUCCAAGUUUAUCAGUGCUUUUGCAAAAUUGCAUAGAAUGUUGAGAUGAUGAAAGACUGCCCUUCAAGAGCAAGCACAAUGGUUGGGAAGUCUUGAAUGGAAAAUUUAUUGGCAUAUCGAUUAAAUAUCGCAAUCCCUGGAAGACCAAAUGCAAUGGUUCUUCUUUUGAAGUCGAAGUUUAAAACCGAGAGGUACCACUGCAGUUGGUUUUUCAGAUAUUUCCUUUCAAACUGAUAUGUUGAAAUGCUUCCGAGGGAAUAACUCCUAAUCAUUGUGCUUGCACUUGAAGGGGUUUUCUUACUUUCUCAGAAAAAUCUGCUUAAGAGGCGAUAUUUUGCAUCAAAACCACGAGAGUCGUAUUGUUCUUGAUAGAUUGCUUGUUGUCAAUCCGAAUUAACAAAAAGAACGAUGCGCUGUCAAAUGUUUUCAAUACCUACUUUAGCUUUCUUGAUAUCCCCACGCCUAGUAGUUUUCAAUACCUACUUGAGCUUUCUUGAAAUCCCCACGCCUAGUACAAAGCUAAUAUAUUGAACACAAUUAAGCCUGUAAAAGUAUAAAAUUCUAAGCAACAAUGUGAUAUGAGCAUAUGACUGACUUGUUUUGGGAGAUAAAUGGUUAUUCCUGAUCUGUGUCCAAAUCUCAGCUGAAUUGUUCUCUUUGGUGUCUGUAAGACUUGUCCAUGUAUAUGAUUUAUAAUAUUAUAAUCAGUUGGGGUGAUCAUAUGAAUUUAGAGUUGUGUUGUCUCUUUUUUGGAGCUAGAUGGAGGAUGUAUUCAUGAAAACCAUUAGUCCGUCAAAGGAGUACCUUAAAUGUUAAAGAAUCAAAAUGUCCAGCAUGUGUUCUAACUUUUUCUUGAAGUUAUUGCAGCUUAAUUAUGUUGGUGAGAGGUUGAAAGGCAAGUUUGUGUGCUGAUUCUGCAAACGAGUUUAGGAAGUUUUGAUGUAACGUAUAGCAGUCUGCUGGAUAGAACCACAUCAUCUUCAUGAAAAUAAAUUUGGUGGAGAAAGUAUAGAGUACGUUUAUCUUUUAAGUUUUAAAGGCAUGGUUGGUGAAGCUUGAUUGGUGUCUCUAUGUGUACGCCUAAUACAUCGCACCAUUAUUGAGUUUGUAAAAUAUUGGAUUGUAGCAGCAUUGUGACAUGAGUAUGUGACUGACUUGUAUGGGAAGAUAAUUGAUUGCUCCUGAUCUUUGUCCAAAUGGCAGCUGAAGUAUAUCAUAUCUGUUGGGUUUAACAUCUUCACAACCUUAUUUGUGUGAUGUAAUUUCGUUUGUCGUCGGCAUGACUUGUUCAUGGUUCUGUCUAAUAUUUCUGUUAGCUGGUUCAAGCAUAUGAAUUUAGAGGUGCUAGAUAGAGGAUAAUUUGAUGAAAGCUAUUGUUCAACAGUCCCAAGGAAUACCUUAAAUAGUUAAGAAUCUGACAUGUUAAAUGUCCAAUUCCUUGUUGAAACUGUUGCAGACUAACUGUGGCGGUGAAAUUUGGGUUGAGGUUGAUAAUCUAGUUGGUGUGCUGAUUCUGAACCUAGGCAGAGUUUGAUGUAUCAGUCUGCUGGUACAACCGCAUCAUCUUCUUGUACGAAUUAAGAUCAUAGCCUCAUUAGUCGAGAGUUGCAGAUCUUUAUAUGUUGGUUUUUAGUUUCGUGCUUGGUGUUUUCCUUGGCUUUUUCUUUUUUGUUCAAAUAUGGUGUUCAUUUAUCUCAUUCACAACCAUUUUUUCUGC